ACGAACGCUGGCGGCGUGCUUAACACAUGCAAGUCGAACGGAAAGGCCCUGCUUUUGUGGGGUGCUCGAGUGGCGAACGGGUGAGUAACACGUGAGUAACCUGCCCUUGACUUUGGGAUAACUUCAGGAAACUGGGGCUAAUACCGGAUAGGAGCUCCUGCUGCAUGGUGGGGGUUGGAAAGUUUCGGCGGUUGGGGAUGGACUCGCGGCUUAUCAGCUUGUUGGUGGGGUAGUGGCUUACCAAGGCUUUGACGGGUAGCCGGCCUGAGAGGGUGACCGGCCACAUUGGGACUGAGAUACGGCCCAGACUCCUACGGGAGGCAGCAGUGGGGAAUAUUGCACAAUGGGCGGAAGCCUGAUGCAGCAACGCCGCGUGCGGGAUGACGGCCUUCGGGUUGUAAACCGCUUUCGCCUGUGACGAAGCGUGAGUGACGGUAAUGGGUAAAGAAGCACCCGCUAACUACGUG
rnacentral:rRNA from 1 species